AUGUCCAACCACGCCACCCACCUCCUCACGGACCACCGCCUUCCUUCCCCGGUGGCGCGCUCCCACGACCAGCGACUUACAGUGCCACUGCUGGUGCACCCCUCUCCCGCAGCCCCGGCCACCACGGGCACCAAAUCGGAGACCAGGGCCAUGGCUCCUCCUCCUGGCUCUUCCCCUGCAGCGGCAGCAACAAAAUUCCCCUGCCUCCUUCUCCUGGUUCUUCCCCGGCAGCGCCAUGGCCAUGCCUCCUCGCGGAUCCACUCUCCCCUCCAACGACACCUCGCCAACGCACGCUGCGCCCCUUGCCCCGCGCAACGGUGGCCACCUUCUCGCAGUGAUCUGGCGGCCCCCAGACGGAUCCCACCGGAUCCAGUCGCCACCGGCCCGGGACGCGACCAUCAACACCGGAUCCGUCAGCUAGGCUACCUAUCGCGCCAUCCAGCACCCUCCACGGCCGAUCUACCACCACCGGCGACUACUCCCAUACCCCCUUCCUUGCCUGCCCACGGCGUGAGCAUGCGGGUGCCCUAUCCCCUGCAGCGGGAGCAACAAAUUCCCGGUGCGGCUAGUGUGGCGCACCAAGGACAGGAUGACGGCGUUGUCCCGCGGGCCAGGGCCAAGGCAUCCCCUGGGAGCCUUCCCUGCAGUCCGGCGACCGCAGCCUUGAAGUUGAGGUCGGUGCUCCGUGUAGUUGGCUUUCCGCGCAGUUGGCCAGUGCUUCCGUGCAGUUGGAUGGCUCGCAGCCCCCUGUCUUCCUCCCCUCCCGGUUGGGUUCCACAAUCCCGGGCGAGUUCCAGUGCACCACCUCGACCUACUGCCUGGAUGGGUCGUUGCGGCCACUAUCGGGCGUCACGUGCAUCAGGGUCAAUUGCAGCUCGGCUGGCCCUCCAUUGCUGUUCGGUUGGGUGCCCGUUGAUGAUUUUUGUGUCUAUCAGCAUCAUUCGAUGA
rnacentral:rRNA from 1 species